rnacentral:rRNA from 1 species
GUGAACGUUACAAACUGUUGCCUCGGCGGGAUCUCUGCCCCGGGUGCGUCGCAGCCCCGGACCAAGGCGCCCGCCGGAGGACCAACCAAAACUCUUAUUGUAUACCCCCUCGCGGGUUUUUUUAUAAUCUGAGCCUUCUCGGCGCCCCUCGUGGGCGUUUCGAAAAUGAAUCAAAACUUUCAACAACGGAUCUCUUGGUUCUGGCAUCGAUGAAGAACGCAGCGAAAUGCGAUAAGUAAUGUGAAUUGCAGAAUUCAGUGAAUCAUCGAAUCUUUGAACGCACAUUGCGCCCGCCAGUAUUCUGGCGGGCAUGCCUGUCCGAGCGUCAUUUCAACCCUCGAACCCCUCCGGGGGGUCGGCGUUGGGGAUCGGCCCUCCCUCUGCGGGGGCCGUCUCCGAAAUCCAGUGGCGGUCUCGCCGCAGCCUCUCCUGCGCAGUAGUUUGCACACUCGCACCGGGAGCGCGGCGCGUCCACAGCCGUUAAACACCCAACUUUCUGAAAUGUUGACCUCGGAUCAGGUAGGAAUACCCGCUGAACUUAAGCAUAUCAAUAAGCGGAG